rnacentral:lncRNA from 1 species
AAAAAAAAUGUUGGAUUGGGACGUUGGUCUGGCUUAUUGAAAUGACAUUGAAUAGCAACAGUCUUGGAAAUUUUCAAAGCUUAAUUUUGGAUAUACAUGGUAGUGUGUGGUUCUCUCUUGAAAAUUUUUUUUAGGUGAUUUAAUGUAACUUAGUACUACUUUAGGAACUUCAGAACAAAGAAAGUAGCUUAAUGAUCCUGAAGGAACUUCUUCUGAUGGUGGCUUUUAUAUUAUCAAGAAAGAUCCUAUUUUCAGUUUUGUGUGAGCAAGUUUUUCUAGUGUAAAAAGAUAUAAAGGUAUGAAAUUUUGAGAAUUGUAUCUUAAACUUGUAUCAUAAGUUUCAACAUCCAAACCUAAAAAUUGUGACUUAUGGUUAAAAUGCCUUAAGCAUGAGGUUUCUGCUCAGAAUUCCAGUUUUCCCAGUUCCUUCCAGACCUCAGCCAGGACUUAAGUUGAUAUGCAAAUAGAAGAAGCCUGGAGCUCAGUAGGAGACAGAUCUGAGGCCCAAGGGGGAAAAAAAAAGAGUAAAAGUGUCUUUUUUACCUGAACUCAAACUAGACCAAACCAAAAAGUAAAUUGUAUGGUAUUUACUAAUUACUGGCCCGUCAUCUUUUUUAGGACUCUUGCUUUUUCUUAGAUUCUGUAUUUUUUGAGCUCAUGAUUUUGAUCCUACAGACAAGGUAAUGUUUUCUGAUCAGUUCUGUUUUUGAUCAACUGUGGAGUUUUUAAACAUUGCAAUGGAAAUUUCACCUGAAAAAACAGCUCUACAAGGCCUUGUGUAUGUGUGCACACUUGUGUUAUGUGUUGUAUGUUGGUAUGUCUGUAUGUGUGUAUGUCCAUAUAUCAUGCAGUUAUAUGACAAUUGGCAGAUAUAUGAGGAGCACUCAUAAAAAAUUUAAAAAAAUGGAUCCAAAUAUCUUUGAUUCACGUGAUUCAAAUGGUUCAAUUUAAAUUGGGUAAACAGAUAAAAGUAAAGACGUCUUUAAAAUUAAGCUUAUAAGUUUUUCUAGGUGUUCAAAAAGACCCUAAUAAAAUGUUAAUGUCUAUGAAAUAAUCUGCCUAAAUUCAAAAAUUUACAAGUAUUGUUUCAAAAUGUGAACAGAAGGAGGUUAACAGAUGGAAAAGAGAAACUAGAAGGUUCUAGGUAUGGAUUUAAUAGAGGGAAAAUGUGUUUCUGGAUAAGAGAGUCUAUGUGAUUAAGUAAUUAAGAGGGUUUAAGUAAGUGAUAAAGAAGGUUUGUGUAAAUUGGUUAUAUAUGUAAGUUUUUGAGCAAGUAAUCUUAAAGAAAUUAAAAAUUAUACAACUAUGGUUAAACAACAACUGUUAUUUUUCAAUAUUGUAAUGUUAUUUGUUUAAAAGCUAAACUUGGUUAAUAUAAAAUCAUCAAAGUAAUUGUGGUGCCAUUAAUGUGUUCAUAUCUUCCAGGUAUACAAGUCUGUAAGGUAGAAGCUUCAAAAGAGCAUUAUAUCAAGCUGGUGUUCUAAAGUUGUAUGGUAAUCUUAGGCUUAAAAAACAACAUGUUGGAGAUUUAUUUAUAUCAUUUGUGUUCUAUAACUGGACUUGUUAUCAAUAAGAUAUGUAAAGUUCUAUGUUACUUUUUAUACUGAGAAACAAUUUAAAUAUAUUUUUAAGUUAAUGAGAGCCAAAUCUGUGUGAAGGUUUUAUUGUAAAACACAAAAAUACUUUGCUACUUUUCUACAAAAGGUUAAAAGCUUUCAGCCUUUCUUUAAUUCAUGUUUUAGGUGUGAUAUUAUAUUGUGUUAACUAAUAUUCAUGUGAACUUGAGCAACAAUUUAUGUAGGCUUUGUAAAAUGAUGUUUAAAAAAGCAAAGAUCAGUUUCAGAACUACAGUACUUAAGAUUUAUGAAGAACCCCGCCUUACCUGAGAUAAGGCUCUGUGUCCCAUCUCACUACAUGUGAAAGUGACUAUGAAAGAAGUAGGCCAGAUUUCAGUACAUUUAAAGUUGUGUCCAAAAGUCGGUUUUUGUCAAGAUUACUAGGAUCUCAAACAGGGGAUUAUAAUGUAUAACUCCACCAAAAUUCUAGGUAGCUAUUACAUGAACUAAAUGUGUUUUUAACACACAACCUGAGUUAAUUUAAGAUAAGGAGUUAUCACCUACAGGAUAGAGAGAUAGACAUUAAAGCCCAGUACUCUUAAUAUAAGGCUGUUAAAACUUAUUUUCUGGAUGUUUAAGAUUAAGUUUUAAAAUUAAAGUUAAAUUAAAAGGGC